GAGUGAUCUAGCCAUGAGCAGGUUGAAGGUGCGGUAACACGUACUGGAGGACCGAACCCACUUAUGUUGAAAAAUGAGGGGAUGACCUGUGACUAGGGGUGAAAGGCCAAUCAAACUCGGAAAUAGCUCGUACUCCCCGAAAUGCAUUUAGGUGCAGCGUUGUGUUAGUUUUAUAGAGGUAGAGCUACUGAUUGGAUGCGGGGGCUUCACCGCCUACCAAUUCCUGACAAACUCCGAAUGCUAUAAAAUGAUGCACAGCAGUGAGGGCAUGGGUGCUAAGGUCCAUGUCCGAGAGGGAAAGAACCCAGACCAUCAGCUAAGGUCCCAAAAUAUAUGUUAAGUUGAAUAAACGAGGUUGGAUUGCACAGACAGCUAGGAUGUUGGCUUGGAAGCAGCCAUUCAUUUAAAGAGUGCGUAACAGCUCACUGGUCGAGCGACAGGGCAUCGAUGAUGAUCGGGCAUUAAGUAUACCACCGAAGCUAAGGAUUGCAGUUUACUGCGAUGGUAGGGGAGCAUUCUAUUCUGCGAUGAAGGUGUCUGGUGAUGGACAUUGGAGCGUAUAGAAAAGCAAAUGUAGGCAUAAGUAACGAUAAG
rnacentral:rRNA from 1 species